rnacentral:rRNA from 1 species
AUUGAACGCUGGCGGCAGGCCUAACACAUGCAAGUCGAGCGGAUGAAGGGAGCUUGCUCCUGGAUUCAGCGGCGGACGGGUGAGUAAUGCCUAGGAAUCUGCCUGGUAGUGGGGGAUAACGUCCGGAAACGGGCGCUAAUACCGCAUACGUCCUGAGGGAGAAAGUGGGGGAUCUUCGGACCUCACGCUAUCAGAUGAGCCUAGGUCGGAUUAGCUAGUUGGUGGGGUAAAGGCCUACCAAGGCGACGAUCCGUAACUGGUCUGAGAGGAUGAUCAGUCACACUGGAACUGAGACACGGUCCAGACUCCUACGGGAGGCAGCAGUGGGGAAUAUUGGACAAUGGGCGAAAGCCUGAUCCAGCCAUGCCGCGUGUGUGAAGAAGGUCUUCGGAUUGUAAAGCACUUUAAUUUGGGAAGAAGAGCAGUAAGUUAAUACCUUGCUGUUUUGACGUUACCAACAGAAUAAGCACCGGCUAACUUCGUG